rnacentral:tRNA from 3 species
GUUAGUGUAGCAAAACCCGGUGUUGCAAAAGACCUAAACCCUUUCUACAGAAGUUCAAAUCCUCUCGCUAACU